rnacentral:lncRNA from 1 species
CCCGACGAGUACCAGCGUGUCGUCGGCAAGAAUUCUGCGGUCGAUUAUGCUGUCAGUAUCUACUUGAAGCAAAAGAAAGCGACUCCUGGUCUUUCAUACAUCGUACAACAGGCACACGACGAGGUAGAAGUAAUUGGAGGCAAUUGGAUUACUGCCAGCGCUGCUGUUAGCAAACAACUGACGCGGCAAUGCAAGGAACCGUUCGAGCUCCUUCUCUUCUGUCAACAAAUUGUAAGACUCACAUACAAUAAUUCCACACCAGCAGGUAGAGUUCCAAAAUUUUCACAAGGCCAGUUGGCCAUUAUCCUCCAGUUGCCAGACCUCAGUCUUCCUCGGCAUGCUCAACGAAUCACCAUCAAAUUGGUACCACCGGGAGUCAGAGUGGUAUCCGUGGAUGCUUUGCCAGAUGAGUGGCCAGUCUUUUCAUUGGCUAGGAGGUUUACGAUACCUCAGUUAAUUCAAGUCCACAUGUCCAAGGCGAGACGUGAACAGUGGCCAUUCGCAUACUUCGUCUGCACCACUGUUCAUCGAAGCAUUGGGGAAACACUCCCCAAAUUAGCCACGCAGAUAAGUUUGGAAGAUCCGAUGUUCUCAUUAUGGGACAAAAAUCAGUUACUUGUCAUUUUGAGCCGAGUGCAAUCUCUUGACGAUCUUCUCUUCGUCGGGGAUAUAGUUGACACUUUGAGAGCCAUCAAGAAGCUCUUGCAAGUGGUUGAUCCUUGGGAUGCUUUCAUAGAUGGGAUUUUGGACGCUUGUGACAGUAUUCGGGAAGGAGAUGGAAUAAUCCCAAGCACUUGUUCUUAUCCGUCCGUACCCGCCUGUGUUCCAACGACCGAUUCAGGAUUCAUAUUCAUGGUCGUUAGCCUGAAGCUUGACUCGUACCGCAUCGAUAAAGCACCUAGUUUGCGGCAAGCUUUGAAGCUUUUCAACGAUCCUCUUGCACUUGCGGCCACAAGAUCGCUGAGACCUUGGGCGCUGGCGUGCUUCAUUACUGGUUUCACCCAAGGCAAUGACGACGAUGGACUGACGGACUUCAUCAAUUCCUGGAGGGCAAGGAUACACACUGAACACGGAAAUGAGGCUAAGAGUCACCAAGCAUUGACUGUCGGCCUAAAUUUGUUUGCCGAGGAAAGGCCCAGACAACCCACCUUGAAGUGGCAGACUUGCUUAAAACUCAAUGAAGAAGUGUCCAUUGGCGUUGGCGGAGAACGUGCAUUGAGCACGCAUUAAAGUGGUACGGACAUCGUUGUCACUAUCGUUGCUGCGCAUUUCUUGCUGCUCAGUUACGACGUGUCGUGUGGCCUAGCAUGAGCUCCCAUUCAUAUAUUUUACGAAGUGCGUGUAUAUUGUCAUCACUCUCAUCGCUGCGCCUUUCCUGCUGCUCAGUUCCGACGUGUCAUGGAGCCUAGCGUGAACAUCAAUUUCUGUAUUUUAAGCAGUGUGGAGUUGUUGGCGUUUCUCGAGUCGUCUGACGAACACUCUGUCAGAAGUUCAAGAUGACGUGAGGUUUACUUGGCCUUGCUCUAGAGGCCUGUCGUAAGAUAAUCUUAUGCGCGCUGC